rnacentral:rRNA from 1 species
UACGGGGGGGGCAAGCGUUGUUCGGAAUUACUGGGCGUAAAGGGCUCGUAGGCGGCCAACUAAGUCAGACGUGAAAUCCCUCGGCUUAACCGAGGAACUGCCGUCCAAACUGCUUUGCUUGAGGCCGGGAGAGGCGAGUGGAAUUCCCAGUGUAGCGGUGAAAUGCGUAGAUAUUGGGAGGAACACCAGUGGCGAAGGCGGGUCUCUGGGCCGAUACUGACGCUGAGGAGCGAAAGCGUGGGGAGCGA